AUGUCAUUCGAUCGCUUGAGUGAGCGGAUGGCACCAUUCAACAUAGCAAAAAACACAAGCUCAGUCGGAAUGAUGUUGAAUGAAAACACCGCACCUGGUAAUGGUAGAAUCUCAAUGACACAUACAGAUAUGGUUAAUAGUGGAAGAACUAUUUCUACACUUCCCAACCAUCAGACAGAAAAUGUCGACGCAAUGACUGACAAGGUUGAUGGCGGGGAUGCAGUUAGCAAUCACCCUAUGCAAGUGGGUACCAUUGGUCAGCAUGCACUUAAUGAUCAAUUUAAUGACAUCAAUGACUUCUCAUGGGAUGAUUUUUUUCUCAACCCGCUGGAUGCAGAUUUCACUAUCGAGGAUGAUUUCAUGGGUGGAGAAGAAUAG
rnacentral:rRNA from 1 species